rnacentral:lncRNA from 1 species
ACUUUCAGAGAGCGCGUGCCUCGUUCGGCCUCCUACGCAGAAACCCACAGCAGAAUGUGCGCGGCGAACACGUGGCCGCGCUGCCGUCGCUUCCCCCGAGUCCUUCCGCGCACAGGAGGGUCCUUGACCAAGCACAGGAGGGUCCCAUCGCACACAGGACGGCUCCUCUGCUGGGCUCCUUCGAGAUGCUCAGGGAUCUCAAGACGGAGCAUGUUGGAGAAGCAAGUGGUCAUCACAAGGCCCCUGGGUCCACGGAGGAACCUCUGCAGGAGAUUCUGAAAAUACACUCUCACGUACUCAACUGACUGGAUGAGAAUGCAUCUGGCCGGAAGAAGCAGAAGCAAACCCACAGAAAGAAAUCCCCACAAACUGUCUUCCAGAAUGACCACGCCGCAGCCUCCCAAGGUCGCCUGAUCCCCUCCGACUCUGUAACAAGCACGCUCGCUCCACAGGGAGCCCAGGGCCCUUUCCGGAAGAGACGGGGCCCCAGACAAAAAGUUAAAUGGAUUUAAAUGUAAGCAGGUCUAAAAAGAAAGCAGAGUUUCCUUUUAGAAGCUUAAGAAAACAAUUAGAAAUAAAAGGAGGCCAGAAAGCACAGUUAAUGAAGGGGCCCGAGAAGCAAAGGCGAUGGGGAAAUUCACCCGCUUCACGAACACUUUUGCAAGGGCGAGACGGAGGGACCGCACCCAGAGCUCUUCUGACCUUGCCCUUGACUCACUGGGCUCUCACAGCUCACAUCCGCCCUCCGGGUGAGCUUAAAGUCGCCGCUCCAUGGAAAUGUUUGUUCUGCCUCUGGAGCAGAAGACACCGCUUCUGGUGGCCCUGGUGGCCCUGUCUCUGGGGCUCUGAGGUCCUGCCAGGCCAGGAGGAGGCUCUCUUCUUGUCUCACGAGCAGGAUUCGUCCAUGUGCAACAUGAGUCCUGUUGAAUACUUGGCAGCCGCCUUCCCAUACUUGAGUUGUUUGUCAUUUCUGGGGCUGCUGAUGCUGCUAUGAUCUCCCUUUUGGGAGAAAUUUACAGGCACAUGUUGACCCAGCUGAAUGGGAACAGGGAGCAACAGGAAUCUCAGGAACAAGGACCAUCGCCGACCAGAGAGGGUGAAUCUGCUCCUUCUCUGGACGGCACCCUCCGGCGAGCCGCUCAGCGCCCCGUCGGGCUGGCCACAGAAGGCUCUGUGACUCCAGUGCUGGAAACCCAGAUCCACUCCCAACCUGGCCUUGAAAUAAAUGUGCCUUUCCUUUCA